rnacentral:rRNA from 1 species
AACGAACGCUGGCGGCAUGUCUAACACAUGCAAGUCGAACGAGACCUUCGGGUCUAGUGGCGCACGGGUGCGUAACGCGUGGGAACCUGCCCUUAGGUUCGGAAUAACUCCCCGAAAGGGGUGCUAAUACCGGAUAAUGUCUUCGGACCAAAGAUUUAUCGCCUUUGGAUGGGCCCGCGUUGGAUUAGCUAGUUGGUAGGGUAAAAGCCUACCAAGGCGACGAUCCAUAGCUGGUCUGAGAGGAUGAUCAGCCACACUGGGACUGAGACACGGCCCAGACUCCUACGGGAGGCAGCAGUGGGGAAUAUUGGACAAUGGGCGAAAGCCUGAUCCAGCAAUGCCGCGUGAGUGAUGAAGGCCUUAGGGUUGUAAAGCUCUUUUACCCGGGAUGAUAAUGGCAGUACCGGGAGAAUAAGCUCCGGCUAACUCCGU